rnacentral:rRNA from 1 species
CCUACGGGAGGCAGCAGUGAGGAAUAUUGGUCAAUGGACGAGAGUCUGAACCAGCCAAGUAGCGUGAAGGAUGACUGCCCUAUGGGUUGUAAACUUCUUUUAUAUGGGAAUAAAAUGUUCCACGUGUGGGAUUUUGUAUGUACCAUAUGAAUACGGAUCGGCUAACUCCGUGCCAGCAGCCGCGGUAAUACGGAGGAUCCGAGCGUUAUCCGGAUUUAUUUGGUUUAAAGGGAGCGUAGGUGGAUUGUUAAGUCAGUUGUGAAAGUUUGCGGCUCAACCGUAAAAUUGCAGUUGAAACUGGCAGUCUUGAGUACAGUAGAGGUCAGCGGAAUUCCUUGUGUAGCGGUGAAAUGCGUAGAUAUAAGGAAGAACACCAGGGGCGAAGGCGGAUGACUGGACGGCAACUGACGGUGAGGCGCGAAAGCGUGGGGAGCAAACAGGAUUAGAUACCCGUGUAGUC